UUUUGGACAAUGGGGGCAACCCUGAUCCAGCCAUUCCGCGUGAGUGAAGAAGGCCUUCGGGUUGUAAAGCUCUUUCGCGAGGGAAGAAAACUUAUGAUCGAAUAAAUCAUGAGGUUGACGGUACCUUGAUAAGAAGCACCGGCUAACUACGUGCCAGCAGCCGCGGUAAUACGUAGGGUGCGAGCGUUAAUCGGAAUUACUGGGCGUAAAGCGUGCGCAGGCGGUUUUGUAAGUCGGAUGUGAAAUCCCCGGGCUCAACCUGGGAACUGCGUUCGAAACUGCAAGGCUAGAGUGUGUCAGAGGGGGGUAGAAUUCCACGUGUAGCAGUGAGAUGCGUAGAGAUGUGGAGGAAUACCAAUGGCGAAGGCAGCCCCCUGGGAUAACACUGACGCUCAUGCACGAA
rnacentral:rRNA from 1 species